rnacentral:rRNA from 1 species
UACGAAGGAUCCAAGCGUUAUCCGGAUUUAUUGGGUUUAAAGGGUGCGUAGGCGGCUUAUUAAGUCAGUGGUGAAAGCCUGCAGCUUAACUGCAGAACUGCCAUUGAUACUGAUGAGCUUGAGUACAGUUGAGGUGGGCGGAAUGUGUCAUGUAGCGGUGAAAUGCUUAGAUAUGACACAGAACACCGAUUGCGAAGGCAGCGCGAUAAACUGAAACUGACGCUGAGGCACGAAAGCGUGGGGAGCGAACAGG